UUUUCCCACUGCACAAUUUCGUUCUUUAUAACUCCUUUUCUUUUGUUUAAAGAAUUUGGGGGCGAGCAAGGACAAGAAUCCCUCGAGAAAUCAAGCAUAUGUUUGCUGAAAUGUGGGCCCACCGGUUCAGAGACCUUAAAAAUUUAGUUCUUGGUGGAGUUGGAAGCAUUACUGUUGUUGAUGGCUCCAAAGUUGAGCCCGGGCACCUCGGAAAUAACUUAAUGGGUACAAAUUUUAAUACUCUUUUUCUUUGCUAGCCCUAAUUUUCAUUGCUUUUAUAACUUUUAUGUGAGUCUCUUCUUUGUUCACAUGAAUUUUGGGCAGUCAAAGGCGAAAACCGUUUGCUCAUUUCUGCAGGAGUUGAAUGGUGCAGUGAAGGCUAAGUUUAUUGAAGAGUAUCCUGAGAAGUUGAUUAUCCAAUCCAUCCUUCUUUUCACAAUUUACCUUGGUUGUUGCCACACAGGAAUUCAUAGCUAAUGAAGGAGGCGGAGAGGAGCCUCUGGAGGGAGCUAUUCCGGAUAUGACAUCUUCAACUGAGUUGUGUGUCUCCCUGCAGAAGAUCUAUCUGUGUGUCUCCCUGCAGAAGAUCUAUCAGGCUAAGGCCGAGGCUGAUUUUCUUGUCAUGGAGAAGCUCGUCAAGAAAAAUACUGAUGAAGCUCGGUUUAGAUCCAGAAAGCAUCUCGAAAGCAGCCAUAAAAUGUUUUUGCAAAAAUGCUAGGAAGCUUAAGGUAUGCAGAUAAAGCAAGAUUGAGGAGGAGUUCAAUUCGACGGUUCAGUUGGAGCUACAGAAGUAUCUUAGAGACGAAGACUACUGGUAGAUCCGAGGUGCGAUUUUUUGGCGCUUGAGUCGUCCACGAGCUCGUGAAUAGAUAGAGGCUGCCAUCAUUGUUAUCUAUGAGGGCAUCAACAACCUAUAACCAUGCUCACUUCACUCAUAUUAUUCAUAGAUUUGGCAAUUAUUUUUAAGCACUUCACUUAACAUUUACAACCCAUUAUCACUAAGAAGCACUUCACUUGGUAUUCGUA